CUCCUGGGCCUCAGACGUUGCUUUCUAGGCUUGCCAAGCAUUUGUAGGAGGACUUGCUGGAAACAUCAAUCCCAGCUGACUGCUCUUUCAUGAAACUUUAAAGAUUUGAAGCAGAAAGCACAGUGGAGUAAAACCUGAGAAGAUCUGAAAAUGAAAAAGCUAUAGACAGAUGCUGAGGACUACAGAAAUGUAAAACAGAGCAAUUUGUGGUGAAAGAUUCAGGUCUAAAGGACAGGAACCUGAACUCAAGUCUUCUCAUAUUGGAAACCUUGAGAGUAGAGGUAGAACUGAACUGGUCCUUUCAGGGAACUUUUCACUUAAAUGCAGC